CUGUGAACAGAAGCGCUGCACACACAGUUGAAAGUUUCCUGCAGGUAUGUUUUUUACCACUGGCUGGCUUGACCACUGAUAAAAGUACUUGCAGUGAAUAGAGCUCUGCUUUACAUGCGGGGGUGUCCCAACAACUGUUGUAGUAAUGCUGCAGCUCCCGGUGCAAAUGGGACAUCUUUUGAAUUGUCUUCAUGGACAAUGUACUUGGUCUCUCAAAGUAGCAACACAUACAGUUUGAAUCAUUGACUGAUUCAUUAUUAAAGGUUAAGAUUAAUAAAAAAGUUAUUAUAGGUAAAGUGACAUGGUUGUCACGUGGGGGAAUAUUGCUCUGCUCACCCUCCUCUCAUAUUUAUCCACAUGAAUCAUGAGUGUGAUUUAAUAAAUAAAUAUUGUUUGAAGUAGUGUAGAUGGCAUUCAAAUCGACUACGAUCACGCUGAUCGAUUGUUUUCAUGAAAAAGUGAGCGUUUGAGCUUUGAUUAUGCUUGAUGAACUCUUUGGAACCUUCAAUAUUGGUUGUUUUUUUUCACGUUUUCGAGCUGGUCAACAUCUGCUCAAGGAUUUUUCAUGUGUUUAGGAAAAUGCUGUACCACUGAUUUGCUGUGAAACAGACACAGAAAAUAUGAAUCUACAAUCAGUUAGUCGAUGACAAUAUUGCAUUACCCAACCUUUAUUCAAUAAGGUAACAUCAUUUGUACAAAAAUAAAUGUAUUGAGGAUUCUAUUUAAACUUCUCAGUCAAACAUACAGCAAACACUCAAGUAAUCUGUUAUCAAAGUGAUGUACAAACCAGAACCUGUUCCAUGCAGACAUCAUUUACAAUCUGCACUCUCACAGUAGCCUAAACACAGUGGAAACAUCGAACCACACCAGUGUUUACUUUGCAGGCUUAAGUUGCAUUAAAAGUAAAACCCAGUCUCA